GGCUAGAGGAUUGAAGGCUCUUUGCAAUGAGAGUGAUUCAGAAUAGAAAUACAGAGCGGGAUCAAUUUUUUUUGACUUUUGCUGGAGACAGUUAGGUACAAUGCUGGUUCAUUCAUUAACUAGACAGAUCUGAGCGGCUAAUUUAGAGAGGGAGGAUCACCGGCUCUCCUACUAUCCUUAUUUCACCACCCCUGUAUCUCCAUCCUUUUUUUGUUCAUUCGUUGUUCCAAACAAAUCGUCAUCUAGAACUAAGCCUAUCGACCGAAAUAGUUGUAUAUUAGAUCAUUCCUGAUCUAGCAAGUUUGUAGCUCAGACCUUAAAGGCACCGCGGAGUUUGGUCACCACUGAAGUGAAAGUAAAUGAAAACGAAGAGAGAGAGCUUAAGAUGGAAGGCAGCAAUGCAUGGUCUAUGAGUCUAUCAUGAUUUGGGAUUGAGAAAGAAGAUGGGAGGUUGUUGGGUAUGGUGCAUGGUGCAUUUUGGUGCCUCAAUUGUUGUAACAGUAACACCAAGUUGGGAGGAAGAUUUGAGGCCAGCUGGCCAUUCAAAUAGGUUACUACUGAAUCCCAAAUAUUGUAAUCCUAGUUGAUGUUGAAGAGAACGCCGUGUGCAGGCCAUGCCUGGGCAUGAUCCUGGAUUCAUGGUUAGACUGUUUCUCCUGAAAUAUAUAUCAAAUUCGCAGAGUUGUUUGACCUUCUCC
rnacentral:sRNA from 1 species